UUUCUACUCUCUUUUCAGAGCUCAGAGGGUACUUCUCCAGCUCAGCAACAGGUAGCUCUGCUUGAUCUUCAGAGUGCUUUAUUCUGCAGCCAACUUGAAAUACAGAAGCUCCAGAGGGUGGUACGACAGAAAGAGCGCCAACUGGCUGAUGCCAAACAAUGUGUGCAAUUUGUAGAGGCUGCAGCACACGAGAGUGAACAGCAGAAAGAGGCUUCUUGGAAACAUAACCAGGAAUUGCGAAAAGCCUUGCAGCAGCUACAAGAAGAAUUGCAGAAUAAAAGCCAACAGCUUCGUGCCUGGGAGGCUGAAAAAUACAAUGAGAUUCGAACCCAGGAACAGAACAUCCAGCACCUAAACCAUAGUCUGAGUCACAAGGAGCAGUUGCUUCAGGAAUUUCGGGAGCUCCUACAGUAUCGAGAUAACUCAGACAAAACCCUUGAAGCAAAUGAAAUGUUGCUUGAGAAACUUCACCAGCGAAUACAUGAUAAAGCUGUUGCUCUGGAGCGGGCUAUAGAUGAAAAAUUCUCUGCUCUAGAAGAGAAAGAAAAAGAACUGCGCCAGCUUCGUCUUGCUGUGAGAGAGCGAGAUCAUGACUUAGAGAGACUGCGCGGCGUCCUCUCCUCCAAUGAAGCUACUAUGCAAAGUAUGGAGAGUCUCCUGAGGGCCAAAGGCCUGGAAGUGGAACAG
rnacentral:sRNA from 1 species